UUUUUGGUUGUGUCUAAUACUGUGAAAUAACAAUGUAAGUGGUCUGUUUCCCUUCGGUAAGCUUCUUCAGUGAUGUGACCAUGUGGGUUGUUUCUGUGUUACGUUCCUGACAGCCAAAGUCCUGAAGGUGCCUUUUCACGUUAAAGUGGUUUGAUCUCUGAGUUGAGUUAUGAGAAAUAGGCGAGAAUAGAGGAGUCCCAAGAGUAAAGCUUUAAGAAAUGUGGGCUGCUGAGAUGUCUUUUAGUGGUUGAAGGUGUGUCUUUGAAGAGGCUUGUGGGAUCUCCUCAUUCUCUUUUGCUUCCUGGUGAUGAAGUGAAUGGUUUUGUUCUGGUAUGAUGUAGUUAGUGCCUUGCCACAGGCUCAAAGGCAUGGAACCAAAUGAUCACGGACUGGAAACUUCUAAGCUGUGAGCCAACACAAACCUUUCUGUUUGUAAGUUGAUUAUGUCCAGUAUUGUGUUAUAGUGAUGAAGCGCUGACUAGUACUGUGUUGUGCCUGCAUGCUUACACAUCCAACCUCCAUGCCUGAGGCUGUAAGUCUUAUGUUUAAGUAUAGCUCUUGGCCCAAAGUGGGCUCUUAGGAAAUACUUGUGAAAAAUUACUUCAUGGCUUUCUGAUUGGUCAAUAUGCCUAAAGGAUAGCUUUGCAAAAUAGAUACCUAAGAUAUUAAGUUUGGAAAACAUUUAUUUUCUGAUAUAAGGCUGUACUCAAAAGGAUCAGGCAUAUGCUAGCAAAUUUCUAAAAUGAAUCAGUAUCUUGGUUGUAUCAGGUUAUGCACUGUGAGGAGAGUAAUGCUGGGGCAGGUUUUGCCUCCUAGACAUGUGUAUAGUUGAGAUGGGCAUUCAGAUCUCAGCAGAGUGCUUAAUCCUGUGUUUAUCCUGUGCAGACAAGUGAUUGUCUCAUAAAACAUUUCAUUCGUAUAGCACUGUAAGAAUCUAAAACAGCAAAAAAAUUUAAAGUAAAAACUGCUGAACUACACAUUCUUAGAGUAUCCGUUCUCUCAAGGUUUCUGUGCAUGUCAGAUCUCAGCAGAGUGAUUAACUGUUUAUCUUGUGCAGACAAGUGAUUGUUUCGUAAAACAUUUCAUGUGUGUUAUAAAGAAUCUAAAACAGCAGAAAAUUUAAAUAAAGUAAAAAAACUACUGAACUAU
rnacentral:lncRNA from 1 species